rnacentral:lncRNA from 1 species
GACACGCCCCGAUCCCGAUGUCCUAGGGACAAAGGGAUGGUCACGUGCUGGUCGACACCCGAAGGGUGACGAAAGCCAUUUAUUGAGUACAAAUGCUGACAACAAGGGAUAGAUCAGACUUAUAAAUAUAAGAGAAUAAAGAAUAUGUAUUUAAGGAACGUGUUCAGAGCACACAUCUAAUCUAGAACAUUAAAAGAAUUAAUAUAAAAAUUGAAUGAACACAGAAGUGGGUCCUACACCGAGAGGACUCGAAGAUACCGAUGCGGAAGUGCCUGGAUGCCGGGAUUGUAUGCCUCGAUUCUAAAUCCUGAAGGGGGCGCAAAACAAACAUGAGUGGACCAAGUUGAUAUAUAUAUAAUAAAACAGUUAUCAACGUACUAACCCCCAGGUUUUAUGAAAACACAUAUAUAAUGAUAAACAUAGGUUUUCUGAAACCUAGCAUGAUGUGCAGUAUCUCAAAUCAUAACUCAUAUAUAAUAAUCACUAGUGAAUUGUCCGAUAACCCCCAGGCCCCAUGCCGGCUCCCCGUCUCUGAGCAGACAGUCAGAGGAAAAUACACUUCAGGCCCCAUGCCGGCUCCCCGUCUCUGUGCUAAAUAGCCAGAGGAAACACACUUCAGGCCCUAUGCCAACACCAAACCGUCGCCCGGGACGGACCGGAAUCUAUCCCUACGUCCCGUAGCGGAAAGGACCACUAGGUAAGUACAAACCAUUGAACAUAUAUAUAUUGAAAAACAACUUCAUAGUAUAAAGUCAUCCAUCAUCUAUACUAUAAAGAGGUGAUCGAAACAUGUUCUAAAUAUCAUAUCGUCAUCCAUCGGAUAUUCUAUAAGAACAUGGGUUAUAGGAAAAAUAGUAAUAAUUCAAACUAGCCUUAGUAAGCAUGUUAUCUCACAAAACGUUUCAUAAAACGUAAUCAUCAAAUCAUGCUUUUUAUGUAUGCAUUUCUACUAUAAAACAUGCAUUUUAGAAGGGGUCCACUCACAGUACUUAGCCGUCGAAGAGCCACGCAAACUAGCAACCACGAAAACGUCACCAAUAUUGCCCCUAAGCACAUAAAGGGUCCAAUUAAUAAAACUCUAUUAUAACAAUUGAAUUUGGGAAAACGAACAUUGGAAACGGAUUCAGAACGUCGAGUUACCCUAAGAAGGGUCCCGGACGAAAACCCGAAAAGUCCACCCUAAAGUCAACGUUGACCGGAGGUCAACAGUCAAAUUAGGUCAAACGGGUUUUAGGCUUGACAUCUGGAUUAGGGUUUAGGUUUAGGUUAACUAGGAUUAGGAUUUAUUGGGUUUUGGGUUUAGGGUCCUAAGGUUUUUGGAUUAAAAGAGUUUAGGGUGAAGAAAUGGGGUUUGGGCCUAAGCCCAAACACAUACACACCACAAACACACAUACACAUACACAUACACAUACACACCACACACACAGACAUACACAUACACAUACACACACAUACACAUACACAUACGCACACGCACACACACUUAAACACACACACACAAACUCACACACUCACACAACACACACACACUAAAUAUACAUACACACACACACGGGUACACACCCACACACCCACACAAUCUAAAACACACACACACAUGGCCCAAAGGCCUCACAACCAAAAGGGUUGGGCUCAGCAGGGAAGGCCCAAAGGGCUUCGUUUUUGGUGGGUCGCCGGAUCCAAUGGGAGAGAAGGCCGGAAAUUCGGCCGGAAAACCAUCCCACUUUAAACGGCCAUAACUUUAACAAUACUCAACGAAAUCAAGCGAGACAAAAACGAAAGUUAUAGCCCUUGAAGAGACGAAGAGAAUGGUACCUCACACGACGUCUAACUCGCCGUGUUUUGGCCGGAAAACGCCUCGAAAGCCGUCGGACUCGCCGGAAACUGGGUAAGAUUCAAAUGAGUAUAACUUUUCCAAUACUCAACGAAAUUGAGUGAAACAAAAAGGAAAGUUGUACUACUCGACGAGACGAAGAGAUUGAUACCUUGCACGCUGGGCAACUCGUCGUGGUUUGGCCAGAAAUGGCCUCGAAAGGGGCGGUGCUCGCCGGAGCUUACUCCGUGUCGUCGAACUCGCAGGGCAGGGUCCGGGGUUCGUUGCGAGCCUCUCUUCGAUGGUGACUCGGUCCUAGUGAGUCCAGGGGAAGAGAGAGAGCCGAGAGACAGACAGAAGAAGGAAGAAAAGAAAACAGAAAAGAAGAAGAAGAAAGAAGGGAGUUCACGGGGGAGGGACAGAGAGAGAAGGAAGAGUGACGGGAAUGGGGGACACAAAAACAGAAGGUGGGCCCCUUGGGCACAUCAAUUAAGAAUAAAAAACUAUUUUUAAAUAAAAUGGGGGUGAGGUGUUACAUUAGGCCUCACCAUCGUCUCCUAAAUCUCAGGUGAAGAUGGCCUGUUGCAGAUUGGUGAAGACGAAAAUGGCUUGUUGCAGAUUGGAGACGAAGAUGGCUUGUUGCAGAUCGGAGAAGACGGUGGGCGCGAG